rnacentral:lncRNA from 1 species
GGUUCUACCAUGGUGAGCCACAGAGAAGACCUUUGCCUUCAGAGGCACUUUUUAAUCUCUAGUAGAAGACCUCUCUGGACUCCCAGCCAAGCCAAGUCCUCUCUGGACUCCUCCACCAAGCCAAGCUCAAGUCCACCGCCACCAAGGUCAAAACAAGACUGAAGCUGCUGACAAGCCAAUGGCUCAUCCAGUUGCACCUGGGUGUCUGAGAGCCUGAGAACAAGAGGACCCCAGCCUCAUCUCAGGCCAGGGGUCUGUGUUUCUCUACUCCUGGAGCAGUGUCCCAGGGCUUCCGUACAGCCCAACACAAGCCUGGUAACAGCAUGGGGUAAGCGUGGUCAAGUGGUCCACCUCCCCAGUUUCUGUGCCCUGUGGCAGAGCAGAUGCAGGACCUUAGAACCCUAUAAGAGAACUAAUGCUGUUAUUCUGGAUGUGAGAAAUGAUGGAUAAGGAGUGGGGCCUUUACUCCUUUUUUUUCCCCUAAUUAGGAAAUGUGGUACUUUCUCUCUUUAAUAAUCAAAUGUAAGAGUUUUGAAUCCCUAAAACAUAUAUUCAUCCUCGAAUUAUUAUUUUUUUUUUUGUGCUACAUUGCCUUAGACUUUAAAAGUAACUGUCAGCUCAUUUGUUUUUACUUAAUCUUAGGGAUAAAUGUAUUAAUAGAACAAGUAAACAUGGCCUGUGUGACAUGGACUGAUACAGAAUAUCAAAUAUACUUAAGAUGAUACCAUCCUUUAUUCCAUUGAGAGUUUUCAUACAGGCAUUAUAUAAUGAUUUCAUGCAGACAAUAUGUUUUACUUCCUUUAAUUAAGUAAGAAUACAUGCUAAUCACUGUAUAGUAAACUGAGUAUUUAAGUGAGAAAUCAUAACUGAGAAAAAGAGACCAGAUAAAUUUUGAAAUUUUCAUGUUACAAAAUAUAACUUUCUUUAGUUGUUUUGGCAACACAUUUGGAUACAGGAAAAGAGCAUUGCUCCACAGGAUUAUUUUGUGUCUGCUUUAAGAAAAGGACUUCACAGGCAGAACUUAUGUAUGUAUUUUAAAUUGCAUCUUAUUUCUCACUUCAGGUAUCUCUCUACAGGUGUCAGCAGUAAAUCCAUCAAUAACCAAACAGCUCACUAACCCAGUGUGCUCAUGUUCAAGCCUGGCAGAGUUAUGAAAGAAAGACGUUCAGAUUUUAGGCCCUUGCAUAUCACCUGUACUGGUGGAUGUAGGUUUGGUACUUUCUUGCCUCCUAUUUCUUUUUCUGUCAGAAAAUUAUCAAUGGAGUCUUAUGAUUCAGACACUUAAUAACUUAUGCACCGUAUAAAUCCUAAAGCCAACUAGACUUGUGGAAAUAUCUGAUAUUCCACUGGAUGAGGAGUAUUGAAUUCACAAACUAGUUCAGCAAGUGAGAUCUUUCUCAAGAAAUGUAAUUAAAUGAAUAAAUAAGUAAAUUCCAAAGCAAAAAUGUUUUACUUAUACAAUUUAGGAACUUUUAUCACUUACAAUCAACUGAGUAGGCUCAAUAAAUUAAAAUAAUAACUUUUGGAAAUGUUAUUUCCCCAAAUAAAAACACAUGAAGUUUUGAGAUGCUGAAUAUUUUUCACCUUCUGACAUGUUCUAUGCUUAGAUGGCAGAAAAACACCCCAGGAUCAUUGUGCUUUUGUGCCACACUGAUGCCAUGAACCAGGUUGAGUGUAACUCAGUACAUGUAGCUCAGUAUCUUCUGCACAGGUACCUUGUUCAGCCUAACUCAUAUUGAAGCUGUGCAGAAAAGGGAAGGUGGUCUCCAGGUUCCACACCUACUGAGCAGCUAUUGGCAAAUGAAUGCUGCUGGGGAAAAGAUAAAAUUCUUUUUGGAGUUGUUGAUAUUGGUGUGUUUUCCACAUGUUAUUUCGUGACCUGUCAUAGAAGGGCACUCUAGUCUGUCUUAGUGGUUUAUAAAAAAGAAGGGGUUGGAGAUAUUGCUCAGCAGUUAAGAGCCCUUGGUGCCCUUCCAGAAUAUUAAAUUUCAGACCCAGCAACUAUGUCAUGCCCAGUGUCUCUCAACUUAUCUCCAAGUCCAGGGAUCUUAUGUCUCUGGUCUCCACAGGAACUUGCAUCUACAUAUAUGUAUCCAGUGCUGACACAGACACCUACACAUUAUUAAAAUAAUAAAAAUAAAUCUUUAGAAGGACAAGGUAUGACAAUGGGAGGGGAACAUGUUGUGGGGAAGAUAAGAGGGUGUUGGAGGAAGGAAAUGAAGAUAAACAUGAUUGUAUUUGUUGUAUAUGUAUUUGAAAUUCUGCAGAACAAAGAAAAUGUGCAGAUGAACAAAAGAAAUGAUGUGCAUCCAUCUCAAUUUGAGUCUUUAGGAGCUUGGAUACAAUUUUCUAUCAUCUUGCCCACUGUUUAUAGAAUAUUGUUGGUGAUGUUUAUCAACAUAACGAUUAUGCUAUUAGAUUCAGCAAUGGCCACUGUGAGUAAAAUCACAGACCCAUCCACAGGAUUUCUGAGUGCCAGUGAAAUAUGUUUGCUUCAUGCAUUAAAAUGUUUUCCUUUAACUCAGCUUAACCUCAAAUGUUGACAGAUUCACUGUUUUCAGCUAGAGUUUGCUCAAUAAAAGAAUUAGUGGGAAGUCAUGAAGAUACACUGUAACUCUGUUGCGAUAUAGCACUGUGCAUAUCAUGUUUUAUCUGUGUGAAGUUAAAUUCAGAGGAAUCUGUUGUUGUUACUAGCAGCUUCUUAUUAUUAACUAUCUAAAUUAUAUUAGGAUCCCUGAGUAUGCUCCCUAGUCAGAGAGACAGACUGACUAUUAAAUAUUCACACUUGGCUCUUCCUAGUGCUUGCAUGCCUGGGGCUAGUCUUUCCCAUGGAAAUCUUUACAGAUCUGGAGCUUAUGUGUUUGUUUGUCAAUUUGGAUGGUUUGCUUGUAGUCCUUACUAGGAUCCUGGCUGUGAUCCCAAGACACCUCUUCAUGACCUUGUCUG